GAACGAACGCUGGCGGCAGGCCUAACACAUGCAAGUCGAGCGCGCCUUUCGGGGUGAGCGGCGGACGGGUUAGUAACGCGUGGGAAUAUACCCUUUUCUACGGAAUAGCCUCUGGAAACGGAGAGUAAUACCGUAUGAGCCCUUCGGGGGAAAGAUUUAUCGGGAAAGGAUUAGCCCGCGUUAGAUUAGGUAGUUGGUGGGGUAAUGGCCUACCAAGCCUACGAUCUAUAGCUGGUUUUAGAGGAUGAUCAGCAACACUGGGACUGAGACACGGCCCAGACUCCUACGGGAGGCAGCAGUGGGGAAUCUUGGACAAUGGGGGCAACCCUGAUCCAGCCAUGCCGCGUGAGUGAUGAAGGCCUUAGGGUCGUAAAGCUCUUUCRCCUGUGAAGAUAAUGACGGUAGCAGGUAAAGAAACCCCGGCUAACUCCGUGCCAGCAGCCGCGGUAAUACGGAGGGGGUUAGCGUUGUUCGGAAUUACUGGGCGUAAAGCGCACGUAGGCGGACUGGAAAGUUGGGGGUGAAAUCCCGGGGCUCAACCCCGGAACUGCCUCCAAAACUAUCAGUCUAGAGUUCGAGAGAGGUGAGUGGAAUUCCAAGUGUAGAGGUGAAAUUCGUAGAUAUUUGGAGGAACACCAGUGGCGAAGGCGGCUCACUGGCUCGA
rnacentral:rRNA from 1 species